GUUUGCUGGCGGGAGGUGGGCUCGACGCUGGCCAAUGAGCAUGCGGGCUCCCAUUAAUGAAAAGCAGCAACAUGGGAACGAACGUACAGGAGGUGUCAACGUGUUGAGGACACAAGACCAGUGAUAAUUACAAGCGUCGCUCAGACACAAUGCUGAAGGAAAGUGCACGUCUUUUCACACUUUUCAAAAGGAAUCAUCAAAAGUAGAGAUGAAGGGGAGGCGAGAGAGAGAAAAAAAGUCAGCAAAAGAAGCGUUCCGAUGGAGCCCGAGGCUGCGUGCAGCACCCAGGGAACGGCAGCCAUCGCCAAAAAUCAGACGGGGAAACAACAACAAGGCCAACAUAGUGAAAAGAAAGCAAAGCAGGCGCGCCAGAGAGAGAGACGACUUGCCAGAGCCAAUCCGAACAUCUCUACCCUAAAAAUUGGUGCGUGUCAAAACCAAACUUGAGGUUACACAAAGUUUACUUUCACACUUCUUCCCAAACCUCAAGUUAGCUUCCAUUAAGAGCCUUAAGCUCGCAACUCCCCUUUGACCCACUGAAAGCUCACAUGACAUGCUCGAACUCUUCCUUUCGAUCCCUCACCUCAGGGGGUGGGGUGGGGGGUGCACGCUCUGCGUGAAGUUGCCACUUUCCCGCGCGCGUGCUCCAUUCAUCCUCGGAUCAAAGCGCAGCGUUCACGCGCACAUGCGCGAGAACGUAUCUUUGUUGGGCUCAUUUCCGAGCCCUCGGGACAAUGCGACGCGAGAUCUUCGCUCAUCUGGCAUCUGUGUUUUCCAUAUUUGCAUGACGGGUUGGGGAAGAAGAACCCUGGCGCGUUGUGAGCACGGUGGCGAUAAAGAGCUUAGAGACCUCCUGCUCUCCCGCAGACUUCAAAAAACCCUAAUGGGGGUUGGAGGUGACACCAAAGGUAGCGAGAGGGCUCGUGCGCGCGGGUGGGAGGCAAGGUCUUUUGACGUUCGUCCUCAGAUCUUUGCUGCUGUUGUUGGGAUUGCCGCGUGCAACUAUUCAUAGAACCAAGAGCCCCGGAACAGAGGGUGGUAUGGAAAUGACAGGCGACCAGGUUGAAAAAGUCUCACGUCUGCCUACGUGCAUGCGUGUGUUAAUCUACUUACGGGGAAAGCAGGCAGAGACACUUUGCUGUUCAUGCGCACGUUCCGCUGCAUCUCCCUCUGAAGCAGCUUCUUGGAGCUCAGUUUGUAAGGAGGGAUGCCAUCUCUGAAAAACCAUCAAACACAGCGCCUGAAUAAAUUCAUUGUCAGACAAAUUCAAGCAUCAAAACAGACGCGAAAGGAGAUGCCGUUUCUCAUCUUUCAGGCUUAAUGGCAGAUUAAAGAUGCACCGAACCAAUUCCUGUUUUGGUUCAGACCGAGUUCACUUCAAUUAGUCGGGGUGUCCGUUUCGCCACAGACUUGGCUUAUGUUUCUACUUGGACGGCUUUGUUCAUAAGGUGACGUUGGAGCACGGCAACACAGUUUAACGCGCUGAUUAACUCAGCAAAGUGGAAAAUGGUGGCGUGCGAUCUCCACUUUGUGCUCUUUGUUUGUGCACCACCGCCGAUGCCUUUCAAAUGAGGACGGGCACCAGGACACCAGCUAUUGGUAUUUGACCUAUUGCUUACUUGUGUAGACUGCCAGUACCGUCCAACAAUACUUGAGGAAAAACAAAAAAAUCUAACAGAGUAUGUCAUCCUUGGCAGUAGUUGGUGCUAUACUAGGGGUGGGCAAACCUUUUGACUCGCGGGCCGAACUGGGUUCUAAAUUUGGACCGGAGGGCCGAACCAGGAGCAGAUGGACGUAGUGUUUGUGUGAAGUAAUAUAAGCGACCUGUAAAGGUCAUUGCAUAAAAGAUUUUGGCCUUUAGUAGGUAGUAAAGCAUGAAUAUUCCAAACAGGUUUUUUGUAAACAAAUGCAUUUAUUAACAGCAUUAAAAAAAUAAUAAUAAUUUCAUUUUCAGUGGGAACAGUGUUGUUGGUCUCCCUUUUUUGCUAGUGCGUCAUAGUCUGGAGUAAAAUUUGUUGUGGCAAUUCUUAGGAGAGAUCCGAGGUGUUGGUCCGUUUACCUCGAUCUGUGACGGGUUGAUGAAAGUAGAGUACACCAAAAUGAAAGUAGACUUGCUUCAUAUCCAUUUUUGAUUCACGGUGUACCACAUUUAUUAAAAAAAAAAAAGCGAGUUUGAAGGGUUUGCAGUAUCAGGGUUACUGUUGUCUACGAGCCAUGUUUCCUCCUCUUUCCCUCGGUGCCUUGCACAAUUCAGCUAGCAUUAACCACAGUUUUGCUAACCCAGACGCCGACGAUCUUGUCUGAAGUUCAAAUUUAUCUUUCUGCUCAAUAUCAAAGUGGCACUAAAAACCAAAGGUGGACAGACCUUUCCGUUUUCCUUCCUUUGGGUGGCCACCAAAUGGGCUGGCUGGCACCUUUGCUGGUGACCAAGCCAGAAGCGAGCAGCAUUUUCUACUUUAGCUUUGAAAUGCCACAGUCAUGCGCAUAAGCGGCGUAGCCCCCGAUGCCGCCGCUCACCCUCCUUCCCCAAUCUUCAUUUGGCAAGCGCUGCCUCUGAUCUCCGCACAUCAAAAGGCUGGUUUGUAAGAUAAGGUAAUGUUUGAAGUCUGCGCGAAUACAGCUGCAUUCCCCAGCGUCCAAGCAAAUCCAUAAAUAAGAUAUAAGCAGAAAUUCCCCCUCCGCCGCUUCUCUUUCUCUUCCCACCCAACUGCGUCCUCCUGCUGCCCCCCCUCCUUCUUUUCUAUUCAGUUCUUGAGCCGUGCAUGGGAUUCGCACGUCUGCGGCCCAUUAAACCGACGUUCUGAUUAAGAAUGGGCACAAAUGACAGGUCUCACACAACAGAGCAAAGUAGGGCCGAAUGGAAAAUGGGCUUCGGUGCCUUUGAAGCAGAUACGCAACAGUGUAGCCCAUUUCGGGGACUCUUUCUUUCCAUCAAGCACACCUAUGUAUUAUUCUUAUUCUUAUUAUUAUCACGAGGCCCAACCUGAGUGUCUUCAGGCGCAAGAGCUCGUCACAACAUUUCUAGUUUGAAUCACUCAAAAGCUUCUUUCGUAUCCGCUUGGUUUGAGGCAAAAAGAUGCUUUCCCACUUACACGCUGCUGUCGGUCACAGACAUGUUGUCGUCUGUCAAGGCAUCGCUGGACACCUCGCUGUCGUUGGUGCUGCUGACGGGAGCAAAGGAGCCCACAUGGCAAACGUCUCCUCCCUUGGACCACCUGAAAGAUGCCGCAAACAUUCAAUGUCUGAUGAGGAGAUGCAACGAGACGGACGGGGGAGAAAUGGCUUCCACAUGUUUUGAAUCCGGACGACGACAAGAUACUGAGGGGGGCGGGGCCGAAGAAGCGUCACGCGAUAGGGUUUUAACCCGAAAGUAUCUGCAAAGAUGAACCUGCCGGACGACACGUUGAGUUUGUAGGCCACGAGACCAAAUGCGCCUGACCGACGCAUUAUCUUGUGUUAACGCGCGUUUGCGAGCACGGCCUUCAGGAACAUUCCCAGUGAGAGAUGAUCCUCUGAGUUCCGCAGAAUAAUUUCAAAGCACCGGAAAUGUGCACAAGGGCCAGCAAAAAUAAUGCUGCUGCUGACAAUGGUGACGGGGAAAAAACAGCAAUGGGGAAACGCUUCCGUCUUUUUUGUCUUCAUAAAUAUCAUCAUAAAAUGCAUUGCAGUAAAAGAGUGUCAUGUGAUUCCUUCUUUCUUUUCUUUCUUCUACUCUGGGAAGAAGCCCUUCUCCGAUUAACUUUAGUUUGAAAUAUCUGAAAAUUUUGGACUUUCUGUAU